CCGUAUUUAAACUAGGAUCAACUCCGAAAUAAAUUAAACACUGAAUAAAUUCGGUUUUGGUUUUUAUUAAAUAUCGGUUUAAGACUUAUUGAACUUUACGGUAUAACUUUCAACUUAAGACUGAUUUCAAAUGUGAGUGAGAUUGAGGAGGGGCCUCUAUGGGUUACAGAAAUAAAGAAUAGGAAAAAAACGGAAUAUCUCCCAAGGUUGUGAAGUGAAGUAAUAGACGAUCGACACGCAGAUAACGCAGAAAAUAGCUUUAAACGGUAAAAUCAUGUGAUGUUCUUGGAUGUUUACGUUAAGGAGAGCUUCAGAGAGAGCAGACGAAACUCAAUUAACUGAGCGUGAUGAGUUGGCGUGAAUACGUCACUAUAUAUGUAUAUAUCGAAAAGUUUUUCAAUAAUGUUUGGCGUGGCAGUCUUGGGCUGUUUAAAGGCGUUAGAGUGGGCGUGGCAACAUGGGUCAGCAAACUUGCGCUGCGUCUUUGUCUCUAGAAUCUAUAUGCUGAAUAUCAACCUUCUAGUUUUUAUAGUUCCUGAGAUCUCGACUUUCAUACGGGCCGUCUAGCCAUGUGGCUAGAUCGACUCGGCUAUGAUCCUGAUCAAGAAUAUAUAUACUUUAUAUAGUCGGAAACGCUUCCUUCUGCUUGUCCCAUACUUUUCAUCGAAUCUAGUAUACCCUUUUACUCUACGAGUAUCGGGUAUAAAAAUAAUAGAUUCCUCUUCUAUUCUUUUCGUUUGUUGUUGGGAUUUCUUUUUCUCUUGUUUCUAUUUAUAUAUGUAUAUAUCGAAGAUUCCUGUUCAGCCCGCUGUUCCUUGGCCGGCACCGCCGCGCUGCCGACAUUGAUAUUGUUGAUGAUGGUUUCUGUGAUUCUAUAAAAGGUAGAAGGUUGAGAUUAAGCAUACAGACAGACGCAGCGCUUGUUGACCCAUGUUGUCACGCCUACUCUAACGCCAUAACCGUUUAAGCUGCCACGCCCACAUUUUUGAAAAAUUGUUGUAUAUUUCAUAAUUUCAUAAUUUUUAUAAGUCUUGUAAAUUUAUAUUGAUCUGCCAAACAACUUUUUGGCGCGCCCACUCUAACGCCCUAGAACUGCCACAAUUUUGAAAAAUGUUUAGAUUUUUCUUCGUUUCAUUGUUUGUAUUUCCAAUUUUUAUCGUUAUACCAAAAACACUAGCUGAGUAACGGGUAUCUGAUAGUCGGUGAACUUUAUAUACCCUAGUUGGGACCCUUUCGAGCAGAGAUUCCACCAAUCUGGCAUUCAGAGCAGGAAAGCCGCGAAUUAUUUCCACUCUUUUCUCUCGACUAGUUAUCUAUCUGGGUUGCGAACGAGAAUAAAUUGUUCACGCGCCACACUAAAAAGAGAUUCAAAUAUGUUUAAAAUUCUCGAUCGCACUCUUGGGAAAAGAGUCAAAGAGCUUGACUAUAUCGUUCUCUCUAGUUUCAUAUAUUUUUAGAAACCAAUAACGAAUGCCUACAUUAACACAUUCAAAGGUUCACGAAUAUAUUUAUUAGAAAUAAUUAUUUUAAACACAUUUAGGAACCUAGGAAACAUUAAAGAAUACUUAUUUGGGAACACAUUCAAAAGCAUUCCGCAACUAAGAGAGCCUCAGCACGUUUUUAUUGUGUUUCAAAAAACUCGGAAUAGAUUUUUAUCAAAAGGAAAAACAAGACUCGCAGUUAAACAUGCCCACGUUUUUGAAAACUAUCUUUUCAACAAUCCGUUUAAAAAUGAUUAAGAAAAAAUGUCUUUAACUUGGCGGUAGAAUUUCUAUUUGGGGAGGUGGCGUUCUUGUGGCCAGAUUCUGAUUUCGUACCUGGAAAUUAACUACAGAUAUUGUAAAUAAUUGCGUUUCAAUACUACAACAUAUUUGUAUAUUCUAUCUCACACUGCGCGUCGAAUCUAUUUUCUCAUAUGGCAAUUCUUUAUACUCACCCUUUUAUUUGUGGUGGUUAUUCAAUUUGAACGAUUUUUUAAUCUUUUUGUUCACUUUCAGUAAAGGGAUGAAAUUUGAUUGCUCUUUCUGCUCACAUGAAUUUCACAACGUCUUCAGUAAUAUAUUAUUAAUAUAAGCUCUUAUAAUCGGUCAACUGAAAACUUAGGCCCUGCUGAGAUCGUGAUCUUAAUUUUUUACAUUCGACUGGAUGAGAAUAUUUUUAGAUGGUCUUCCUGCAGUAGAUGCUUGUACUAUUUACUAUUUGUCACAUAUGUUUAUACCCUUUAUAAAACCGAUUACUGCUCUGAUGUCCUAUAUCACAUUAAAGCAAGUAGAAAUAACAGAAAACUAUUCGCCUUUGGAACAACAACCGUAAUCGUUUUAAUGCUUGAUUACACUUUGGCCCGCUCUGUUAUGUUUGAUCCAAAUCAAUGCAAAAAAUCGGAUCAAAACAGGAAGAGUUUCGGACUCUAUAAAUCAUAUAUAUAUAUAUUCUUGAUCAUUUUCACUAUCCGAGUCCGAGGCCAUGUCCGUCUUUAUGUCGGCCUGACGCUAUGAACGCUGAAAUACUGAAAUUAAGCUUGAAGAUUUAAGUGGCAUUUAAGUGCAAAGUGCCUGUUUUUAUACCCGUUACUCGUAGAGUAAAAGGGUAUACUAGAUUCGCUGAAAAGUAUGUAACAGGCAAAAGAAAGCGCUUACGACCAAAUAAAAUGAUCAGGAUCCAUAGGCGAGUCGAUCUGGCCUGUCCGUUCGUAUGAACGUUGAGAUCUCUGGGAAUAUAAAAGCUAGAAUGACAUAGGCAUAGACGCAGGGUAAGUUUAUUUCCUAAUGUUGCCACGCCCACUCUAACAACCACAAUCCGACCGAAACUGCCUAGCCCACACUUUUGAAAAAUGUUUUCAUAUAUUUGCAUAUUUGUAUUAGUCCUGUUAAUUUCUAUAGAUUUAAAAACACUUUUUGCCAUGCCCAAAAUACGCCCAAAACUGCCUCGCCCCCACUUUUUAAAAAUGGUGAUAAUGAUGUAAUUUCGCGUUCGCAUUUUUACUACAUGAGUAAUGGGUAUGUGUUAGUCAGUGAAGUCAACUAUAUAAAUCUCUCUUGUUUUGUUUAAUUGUCUGUCUUGCCCAUUUAAAAAAAAAACAUUAAGGAAACAUCGUUAAACAUUACGCCACCUCUGCUGUGCAGCAAUUUCUUCGUUAUCUAGCCAGAGAAGCUGCGUUAGAAUGUAAGCUUCCGUGCUCCCUCUUUUUAGUAUUUUCGCCUGCACCUUUGGUUUAGCGUUCUGCUAAUCGCUCUGCAGUUAAGUUGCUUAUUAUCACUCGCUUUCCCUACCUACACUAGUCGUCAUAAGCAUUUCGAUAAAAACGCCUGCUUCUUUUAAAACUUGCUUGCGCUUGAUAGCAGCAGUGCGAAGGCGAUGAGCAAUGCAAAUAAUGAAUAUUUUGGACACAAAAUGACAAUUUUUAUACGGCUUACAAAAUGCAUUCACUUUCAGACAACCAAUUUUGGUUUGGCACAAGUGUUUUGUGUUUUGUCAUUUAGUAAAUUGUAUUCUGCUUUUGAGCACGUGUAAAUCAAAAAUUGUUUAAAUUUUAUUAUUUGGGUUAUUAAACGUUAUUAAAAAAGUUAAGUUUUAAGUUUGUUUAUUAGAUCAUCAAUGGUAGUGAAAUUUAAUGUUGUAAUUAAAGUAAAAAACAUUGCGAAAGGGUUUAAUUUGUCGCGUUAAACUAUGUACUAUCAAAUUAAAAAGUUUAUAAAACAUAAUGAUUUAAAAACUUAAAAAGAACUGGGCCUAAGCCCAAAACAACAUUCGCUGACGACAAACUCCUUAUACGGGAAUUUAAAAAAAUCAUCUUUCAAAAUUCCAAGCCGUUGCAACUCAGUGGAAUGUGACCGCCUAUCUUCCAAAAAGUGAACAUAAGGCAAUCAGUGACCGCACAGUGUGCAAAUUUUAAAGGAAGAGGACAUGAAGUCACAUAUAUUGCUAAGGAUGUGACGCAUAUUUCAAAUAUUAACAAGCUUACCAGGUUGCAAUGAAAAAGUUAUUUAUGCCAAAGGAGGAUAUAUAUUUUAUUAAUUGGUUCUGUCCGUAGGAACGACGAGAUAUCAGUAGAUUCAGCAUACAGAUUCUAGAGGCAAAGACGCAGCGCAAGUUUGUUGACCCAUGAUGUCACGCCCACUCUAACGCCCUAAAACCGCCCAAAACUGGCUCGCCCGCAUUUUAGAACAUUUUUUCGAUAUUUUUGUAUUAUUGUAUUAGUCUUUUAAAAUUCUAUCGUUUUGCCAAAAAACUUUUUGCGACACCCACCUUAACGCCCUAAAACCGCACAAAACUGCGAUGCCCGCAUUUUUAAAAAAUGGUUUGAUAUUUUUUCAUAAUAUUAUUACUUGUGUAAAUUUCUAUCGAUUUGCCGAAAAAACUUUUUUCCACCCUCAUUCUAACGAUCUAAAGCAGCAAAAAACCCGAUCUCGCCCACACUUUGGAACAAUUUUUAAUCUUUUUCUCAUCUUAUUCCACAAUAUCAAUCGAUAUCCCAGAAAAAUGUUGAAAUUUCGCGUUCGCUUUCACACUAGCUGAGUAGUUGAGGGUACUGAUAGUCGGGAGCUCGGCUAUAGCGUUCUCUCUUCUUUUGAAUAUAGUCUGGGUCCAUUUGAAUUUGAUGGAGCCCAUUAGCCAGAUCUAGCCAUUCGAAGUGUUUGGAUGUCCAGCCAUCCCUUUUCUGGAGUUUCAUUCAGUUUUUCUUUAUAAAUAAUUGUAUUCUGUGGAGUCCUAAAUUGCUAAAUUUACUAAACAAUGGAAAAAUAUCUGGGAAUACAUCGGUCAAGCUUCACGCUGAGCUCGACCAUGUAAAAAAUAUACUAUCGAAAAGAAAACCACACAAAGAAACCGCGCUCACUACCACCUAAACUUCAAUUUUAAAUACAAACAUUAAAUCUUUAAUUUAGCCACAGCAGAAGAGGAAGAUUCCGGCGCUAAAAUAGAAGAACGCAGACGAUUGUGUAGGACCGCUUUGCUCGCCAUUCUGCGAGAACACUUUCAUCGCCCGUAAGAAAGAUCAGCGACAGAAGUACAACAGCACCGGAACCAACAGCCCAACCUGGAUCGCACAACAAAAAUACCAGAACAAAAAUGUACUUUAUUUUUAUAUAUGUAUGUGCAUGUUAGAAUGCACUGUGAUGCAUUAAACUAAAUACAUUAAACGAAAUAUUGUGACGAAUGUAAAAUUGAGCGACAUUAAAGUUGCCCAAAUAGCGUGUGACUUGUAAAGUCAUGCAACAAUUUAGGUAGGAAAUUUUGUUAAAUAAAAAACAAACAAAACGCAAAAAUUAAUCAUAUUAAUUGUCGCGGAUCGAAAAUUGCAAUAGUUAGUAUUUUUAAGUGAACUUACAUAUGUUGUCAGCCAGUUUCAAUGUGAUGGGAUUUGUUAGCUAAAUAUGUGCAGGCACACUGUGUUUUCGCCAUCGCAAUGUUGGAAAUUAGCCGGGAAACUUGGUAUUUUCAUUGUCGUCAGAAAGUCUGGAGGACACACUGCGAAUGCACUUAUUGUAAGGAGGAUAAGAAGAAAGGAGGACACUGAAACACUGAAGAUAACCACGUCAAAUAUAUCACAACAAGUACCAUCCAGGGCAAUUUCCGUAGGUGAUUGAUAUUUGAUGGUGAUCAUAUUUUGCAUGGACAUGGAGGAAAUUAAGGAAGCCCUUACUCAACUCAGUGCUUUUCAAUGCGCAUUGACCGCGCCGAGUGCUAUUAGAUACGAUAUUAGCAAGAUUUCUUACGCUCUCAGCGUGAGCGAGCGGACAGAGAGCAAUUUUGGCCGUCACCAAAAAAGUGGCUGCAUACUGCCAAACCAAUGUAUGGCCGUUACGCAUCUUGUUAUUCUAGUGUCUUUGCCGCUACCCUGGCGGACAUGAGAAUUGAGACCUUGGUCGAGUACUAUCUCAAAGACGCAACGGAGGGUAUUAACCGGAUAGCCAGUGCGCCCGUGAGAAAACCUCGCUAGAUAAACUGGUUGGAACAUCUACGUGACAACUGCUAUCCUAAACAAAGCUAUCAUCCAUGCCAACCAAGACUCAAAAGUCACAAGUCGCCUUAUGCAGCUAUAUACCACGACCCACGAAGGGAAGCAGGUAAAGCUGCAACACCGCAAGCUGGCGAUGAGCCCCAACGCGACCUACGCAAAAGUAGAAGGUUACCUGUCCAUUGGCCACACAACGGUUAGCCACGCUGAAGAAAGACGGAUGCAAGUAACAGCCAACGAUAACCGGCUAUCUCUAAAGUACGUACAUGACGCCAGUUUAAAGAUCUUGAAAAGAUCAUAACUCAAGUUUCAUACUUCAAAGCGAAUGUAAAGUCCCGACUUUAUACAAAAUUUAAAAAUACCGGUUCUCAGUCUAUCCUUUCUAAAUAUGUAAGCGCUCGGUUAAACUUUACCGUUUUUAAUGCUAAGUGCUACAGGAAUUAUUUAAACCGUUGUAAUCUCCAGUUCGUACAGGAUCCGAAACAUUUUUAUAAUUUCGUUAACACUAAGCGAAAAACAAGUUCCUACCUAUCCUCGCUAUUUUUUAAAAACAUUACGGUAACAUCGGACCAGGCAAUAGCCGAUCUAUUCGCCAAGUUUUUCCAAACAACAUAUUCUACUUUACCUCAUUCCGAACAGACAUACUCUUAUGCCGUAUCUAGGUCGAAUCUAAUAUUUUGCCCCACUAUAAACGAAAGCUCACUGCUUAACGAUCUUCAGCGUGUUAAACCUGUCUAUUCGCCAGGUCCCUUUGGACAGAA